UACGAAGGUCCCAAGCGUUAUCCGGAUUUAUUGGGCUUAAAGGGUGCGUAGGCGGGCUAUUAAGUCAGUGGUGAAAGCCCCAAGCUUAACUUGGGAACUGCCAUUGAUACUGAUGGUCUUGAGUACAUUUGAGGUGGGCGGAAUGUGUCAUGUAGCGGUGAAAUGCUUAGAUAUGACACAGAACACCGAUUGCGAAGGCAGCUCACUAGACUGUAACUGACGCUGAGGCACGAAAGCGUGGGGAGCAAACAGG
rnacentral:rRNA from 1 species